rnacentral:lncRNA from 1 species
AAUAUAUAAGAUUCAUCCCUCCUGCUGAUUUUGGAGUGCACAUUCUGUCCCAAGAGAUAUAGGCCUUAUUAGUGAUGGAGUUUAAACCAGACCACACAAAACUCCUACAUAUAGCUUCGAUCAUCUUAAGGACUUUAGCAGGGAAGAUGAAGAGUUGGGCCCAGUAUGCUUGAAUGCCAAAUAGAACAUAUUGGACUAGUUGGAUCCUCCCAGUGUAAGACAGUUUCCUGGCAGUCCAUGAGGUGAUCUUAGCAGUGAUCCUCUCCACAAAAGGUUGCCAUUGGAGUAAGGUAAUCCUCUUGGUGGACAGAGGGACACCUAAGUAUUUGAAUGGUAACUCACCUUGAACAUAACCAAGGUGGUCUAUAAUCUGUUUUUGCACUUCCAAUGUAACACCACCAAAAUAUACUGAGCUUUUGCUCAGGUUUGCCUGCAGACCAGAGGCUUCAGAAAAUUUAGAGAAGCAUUUGGAUAUGGCUAUGAUAGAGGCAGUUUCCCCUUUAGCAAACAGUAGCAGGUCAUCAGCAAAGCACAUGUGAGUAAUUCCUAAUUUUUUGCAUCUAUGAUGGAACUGGAAAGUUGGUUCUUUCUUUAGUGCAUUACAUGAUCUGCUCAGGUACUCCAUGACAAGUGCAAAUAGGAAGGGGGAAAUGUGAUCCCCUUGCCUAAGUCCCCUUGUAGCUACAAAGGGCUAUGUUGCCUCUCCAUUGACUAGGGGAUCCCCUUGCCUAAGUCCCCUUGCAGCUACAAAGGACUCUGUUGCCUCUCCAUUGACUAAGACAGAGAAGCUAACUGUUGUGAUGCAUUCCAAGUUAGUAAAUCUUCUUGGGAAACCAAUCUGCUCCAUAACCUACUGUAGGAAUAUCAAUUCCACUGAAUCAUAGGCUUUUUGGAGAUCAAUUUUAAUCAUGCAUCUAGGUGUCACAUGUG